rnacentral:tRNA from 1 species
GCCCGGCUAGCUCAGUCGGUAGAGCUUGAGACUCUUAAUCUCAGGGUCGUGGGUUCGAGCCCCACGAUGGGCG